rnacentral:rRNA from 1 species
AUAUCAAUAAGCGGAGGAAAAGAAACUAACAAGGAUUCCCCUAGUAAGCGGCGAGUGAACCGGGAAGAGCUCAAAUUGUAAAUCUGGCGUCUUCCAGGGCGUCCGAGUUGUAAUCUAUAGAAGUGUUUUCCGUGGCUGGACCGAUGUCCAAGUUCCCUUGGAAACAGGAUAUCAAAGAGGGUGACAAUCCCGUACUUGAUAUGGCCAACCAUUGCUCUGUGAUACACUUUCUACGAGUCGAGUUGUUUGGGAAUGCAGCUCAAAAUGGGUGGUAAAUUCCAUCUAAAGCUAAAUAUUGGUGAGAGACCGAUAGCGAACAAGUACCGUGAGGGAAAGAUGAAAAGCACUUUGGAAAGAGAGUUAAACAGUAU